UGCUACUGGAAACAUCUUGACGUGACAUCACCUUCUCUGUGUUUGGCCAUUUAUUCACCGAAAGAAAAAUAAACCACCACAACAACAAAAUGGCUCUGGAAAAAGCAAGAGAGCUUUGACACGUGAGACACGCCGAGGAAAUUCAAGAGGCUUUCCACGAAAACGCUUGAACAAAAAGAAAGCCAAGAGGAAUUUCAGUCUGUCACCUUGCCAGGCAGGAGGGCCAUGACACAAACAAAAGAAAGACUUUGAGUGCCAUCUGUGGCAGUUUUAUUGUUGUAUGGUUUAGAGGAAAACAGUUCAUAACCGAAUGGAAUAAAGC